ACCAGGACACCACCGGCUCUUCCUAUCCCCGUCUGUUCGGCAGCAGUUGUGGAGACCAUGGAUGGGACUAUCGCAGUUGCUUCUGCGUUUUGCGGGCAUCAGGAAGUAAUGCUCCUCUUCUUCCUCGACCACCUGAACCACCACGCUGGUGGGCUCCUAAAGCAUCAACUUCAAUAAUGGUGACCCUAGAGCUAGCUAGUUUAGUCUGCUAUGGUUUGGGGGUGCUUUGGGUUUCAAUUCACUGCAGCAGAAGCACCAUUCUUUUGCCUUUUUCAGUUAGAUGCCUUUGGAUUGUUUGGCUUUCGGUAGAUGCAGAGUAUAGAUUAAGUAUUCCAUAAAAUUCACCACAUGAGUAUACUACUUAAUAGCCAAUUUUCGUGGUCAAAUUCAGCCCUGGAUGCAAAUGGAAAUCAUGAUUCUGUUAUACGCCGAGGUCGGUGGUCAAAUUCUCGAUUGGUGUGGAACACCAUGGACAGGGCAAAAUCAGUGUGCUUUGAAACGUAGGGCGAAUCUUGUGGAGGAGUAGGGCGAAUCGGACAUUGUCUCGCUUGUGCUGCUAUGAUAAUAUGCUGAAUGUUGUUCAUGUGACUGUGUAUGAAUCUUCUGUACGUGCAGAUUAUCAUGAAUUAUUUAAUGCUGCUGAGGGUGUAACAGAGUGUUUCAACCAACAGCAGAAAAAUCAGUUUGAUGUAUGGAUGCUUCAUGCGGUGGUAGCUAAUGAUCUCUAUACUGAUGACAGUUUUGUGAUCAGGAUCUAAUGUCGUCGAGGUGGCUGCUGCUCUUACCGAGUUUUAGUUGAUGUUGCCACCAAGUUUUGGUGCAUGUGUAUUUGUUUUUUGAUUGUAUGUACACUUGUUGGAUCGUGCAGUAUUUGCUAUUGUACAUGUGCUAUUGUGAGUUUCAUUGAUAGAUUUUUGGAUUUGAUCAUUUAAUUGAGAGAAUGUUUGAUUGUUUGCUGUUGAAAUGUGUAAAUUUGAAAUCUGUGAAUGAAAAGGUUUGGAUGUUC